AGAUUUAAGACUCGAGGAGAUGUCUUCGAUGGGAGUAGGAAACAAACCUUGUCUGGAUAUAACUCCGAGUCAAAAUCAGAUCUGUGAUCGUUCCAUAAGUUUUCAACAACUAAUCAAGAUGCCUCGUUUUCGUAACUCUGUAGUUAUUUCCAGUACGGACAAUCUAAAUAA